UAAUUUUUUUACCUUUAGCUUUGUCACCAUCUGCUAUGGUUGUCCAAUCAACUCAGCCUUCCACUGUUUUAGUUUUAGUUCCAUCUACAUCUGAAACAGUUGUUUCAUCAACAUCUACCACAUUUAGAGAGUUUAAAAGCUAUUUCUU
rnacentral:lncRNA from 1 species